rnacentral:misc_RNA from 1 species
CUGAAAUCUGUCCAAAAUAAUGAAGGUCAGACUAUUACUGGCACAAGAUGAUCAGCUGCCCAUCUGCUGUGAGCUAAGUGGCAUUAUCCCACCAGCUGAAGGAACAGUACUGCUGCAACGAGGUAAUUGUAAAUAUAAAGGGCUAAGAAUCCAGAUGGAUGAAGUGAUUUUCACAGUCUCCUGCUUAACUGCGAUUGUAAUCUUGAACCUGCCUAUGGAUUACAUAGAUGGGAAGCCUAUACCAGCUGUUGUUUUUCAUGGUCUUCCUUCUACUUUUCAUGCCUUCCUCGUCUGCCUUAUGGGUUCUUGUUGUGCCUCUGUUUGCUCCAUGCAUCUCAGGGAUAGAAAGCUUAAGAUUGCCAAGUUUUACUAUUUUUUUGCACUUCUUUCUACUUUGUUGUCCCUGGCAAUUUUCUGCUGGGCUGCUGUUCCUGCUACCCUCUUGUGGGUGGCUUCUAUAUUUCGUUGAAGGAAUACGUACCUAGAAUGAUGCUUUGCUUAUAGGGAAAUUUACUGUUCAUCGUGAACUCAAAAUAUAUGUGAUUAAAUUUAAAAUGA